CUAAUACAUGCAAGUCGAGCGGACCGACGGGAGCUUGCUCCCUUAGGUCAGCGGCGGACGGGUGAGUAACACGUGGGUAACCUGCCUGUAAGACUGGGAUAACUCCGGGAAACCGGGGCUAAUACCGGAUGCUUGAUUGAACCGCAUGGUUCAAUCAUAAAAGGUGGCUUUCAGCUACCACUUACAGAUGGACCCGCGGCGCAUUAGCUAGUUGGUGAGGUAACGGCUCACCAAGGCGACGAUGCGUAGCCGACCUGAGAGGGUGAUCGGCCACACUGGGACUGAGACACGGCCCAGACUCCUACGGGAGGCAGCAGUAGGGAAUCUUCCGCAAUGGACGAAAGUCUGACGGAGCAACGCCGCGUGAGUGAUGAAGGUUUUCGGAUCGUAAAACUCUGUUGUUAGGGAAGAACAAGUACCGUUCGAAUAGGGCGGCACCUUGACGGUACCUAACCAGAAAGCCACGGCUAACUACGUGCCAGCAGCCGCGGUAAUACGUAGGUGGCAAGCGUUGUCCGGAAUUAUUGGGCGUAAAGCGCGCGCAGGCGGUUUCUUAAGUCUGAUGUGAAAGCCCCCGGCUCAACCGGGGAGGGUCAUUGGAAACUGGGGAACUUGAGUGCAGAAGAGGAGAGUGGAGUUCCACGUGUAGCGGUGAAAUGCGUAGAGAUGUGGAGGAACACCAGUGGCGAAGGCGACUCUCUGGUCUGUAACUGACGCUGAGGCGCGAAAGCGUGGGGAGCGAACAG
rnacentral:rRNA from 1 species